UAAGCCUCUACUAAGUUUUUGCCUUCCUUA
rnacentral:piRNA from 1 species